ACGGGAGGCAGCAGUGGGGAAUAUUGCACAAUGGGCGAAAGCCUGAUGCAGCGACGCCGCGUGAACGAUGAAGUAUUUCGGUAUGUAAAGUUCUAUCAGCAGGGAAGAAAAAUGACGGUACCUGACUAAGAAGCACCGGCUAGAUACGUGCCAGCAGCCGCGGUAAUACGUAUGGUGCAAGCGUUAUCCGGAUUUACUGGGUGUAAAGGGGGCGCAGGCGGUACGGCAAGUCUGAUGUGAAAGCCCGGGGCUCAACCCCGGUACUGCAUUGGAAACUGUCGAACUAGAGUGUCGGAGGGGUAAGUGGAAUUCCUAGUGUAGCGGUGAAAUGCGUAGAUAUUAGGAGGAACACCAGUGGCGAAGGCGGCUUACUGGACGAUAACUGACGCUGAGGCUCGAAAGCGUGGGGAGCAAACAGGAUUAGAUACCCUGGUA
rnacentral:rRNA from 1 species